rnacentral:rRNA from 1 species
UACGAAGGGGGCUAGCGUUGCUCGGAAUCACUGGGCGUAAAGCGCACGUAAGGCGGACUCUUAAGUCGGUGGUGAAAUCCUGGAGCUCAACUCCAGAACUGCCUUCGAUACUGGGAGUCUCGAGUCCGGGAGAGGUGAGUGGAACUGCGAGUGUAGAGGUGAAAAUUCGUAGAUAUUCGCAAGAACACCAGUGGCGAAGGCGGCUCACUGGCCCGGUACUGACGCUGAGGUGCGAAAGCGGUGGGGAGCAAACAGG